rnacentral:rRNA from 1 species
CGUGGGUGAUCUGCCCUGCACUUUGGGAUAGCCUGGGAACUGGGUCUAAUACCGAAUAUGACCAUGCACUUCCUGGUGUGUGGUGGAAAGCUUUUGCGGUGUGGGAUGGGCCCGCGGCCUAUCAGCUUGUUGGUGGGGUAAUGGCCUACCAAGGCGACGACGGGUAGCCGGCCUGAGAGGGUGACCGGCCACACUGGGACUGAGAUACGGCCCAGACUCCUACGGGAGGCAGCAGUGGGGAAUAUUGCACAAUGGGCGCAAGCCUGAUGCAGCGACGCCGCGUGAGGGAUGACGGCCUUCGGGUUGUAAACCUCUUUCAGCACAGACGAAGCGCAAGUGACGGUAUGUGCAGAAGAAGGACCGGCCAACUACGUGCCAGCA